GAUGAACGCUGGCGGCGUGCCUAAUACAUGCGAGUCGAGCGAACGGACGAGAAGCUUGCUUUUCUGAUGUUAGCGGCGGACGGGUGAGUAACACGUGGAUAACCUACCUAUAAGACUGGGAUAACUUCGGGAAACCGGAGCUAAUACCGGAUAAUAUUUUGAACCGCAUGGUUCAAAAGUGAAAGACGGUCUUGCUGUCACUUAUAGAUGGAUCCGCGCUGCAUUAGCUAGUUGGUAAGGUAACGGCUUACCAAGGCAACGAUGCAUAGCCGACCUGAGAGGGUGAUCGGCCACACUGGAACUGAGACACGGUCCAGACUCCUACGGGAGGCAGCAGUAGGGAAUCUUCCGCAAUGGGCGAAAGCCUGACGGAGCAACGCCGCGUGAGUGAUGAAGGUCUUCGGAUCGUAAAACUCUGUUAUUAGGGAAGAACAUAUGUGUAAGUAACUGUGCACAUCUUGACGGUACCUAAUCAGAAAGCCACGGCUAACUACGUGCCAGCAGCCGCGGUAAUACGUAGGUGGCAAGCGUUAUCCGGAAUUAUUGGGCGUAAAGCGCGCGUAGGCGGUUUUUUAAGUCUGAUGUGAAAGCCCACGGCUCAACCGUGGAGGGUCAUUGGAAACUGGAAAACUUGAGUGCAGAAGAGGAAAGUGGAAUUCCAUGUGUAGCGGUGAAAUGCGCAGAGAUGUGGAGGAACACCAGUGGCGAAGGCGACUUUCUGGUCUGUAACUGACGCUGAUGUGCGAAAGCGUGGGGAUCAAACAGGAUUAGAUACCCUGGUAGUCCACGCCGUAAACGAUGAGUGCUAAGUGUUAGGGGGUUUCCGCCCCUUAGUGCUGCAGCUAACGCAUUAAGCACUCCGCCUGGGGAGUACGACCGCAAGGUUGAAACUCAAAGGAAUUGACGGGGGCCCGCACAAGCGGUGGAGCAUGUGGUUUAAUUCGAAGCAACGCGAAGAACCUUACCAAAUCUUGACAUCCUUUGACAACUCUAGAGAUAGAGCCUUCCCCUUCGGGGGACAAAGUGACAGGUGGUGCAUGGUUGUCGUCAGCUCGUGUCGUGAGAUGUUGGGUUAAGUCCCGCAACGAGCGCAACCCUUAAGCUUAGUUGCCAUCAUUAAGUUGGGCACUCUAAGUUGACUGCCGGUGACAAACCGGAGGAAGGUGGGGAUGACGUCAAAUCAUCAUGCCCCUUAUGAUUUGGGCUACACACGUGCUACAAUGGACAAUACAAAGGGCAGCGAAACCGCGAGGUCAAGCAAAUCCCAUAAAGUUGUUCUCAGUUCGGAUUGUAGUCUGCAACUCGACUACAUGAAGCUGGAAUCGCUAGUAAUCGUAGAUCAGCAUGCUACGGUGAAUACGUUCCCGGGUCU
rnacentral:rRNA from 1 species